UACGUAGGGUGCAAGCGUUAUCCGGAAUUAUUGGGCGUAAAGAGCUCGUAGGCGGUUUGUCGCGUCUGCUGUGAAAACUGGGGGCUCAACCCCAGCCUGCAGUGGGUACGGGCAGACUAGAGUGCGGUAGGGGAGAUUGGAAUUCCUGGUGUAGCGGUGGAAUGCGCAGAUAUCAGGAGGAACACCGGUGGCGAAGGCGGGUCUCUGGGCCGAUACUGACGCUGAGGAGCGAAAGCGUGGGGAGCGAACAGG
rnacentral:rRNA from 1 species